ensembl:lncRNA
ACAGCCACAACAAUGCCAGAUCUGAGCCACAUCUUUGGCAAUGCUGCAGCUUGUGGCAACGCUGGAUACUUAACCCACUGAGUGAGGCCAGGGAUCGAACUUGCAACCUCAUGGAUACUAGUCAGGUACAUUACUGCUGAGCCAUGAUGGGAACACCCCAGUUUCUUAUUCUUGUUGAGUUUCCUCAGUGCCUUGAUGUCCCUGUGCGGGAUAUGCACAUCCCUGACCUCGUCACCAUGCUGCUGGUCUCCCAGAACACACUCCCGGAGACCUUGAGGCAGGGAGGAGACAUACACUUGACGAUGUCCAAGAAGCAUGUGUCCUUCUGAGGGUCAUGGUUCUUCAGGCUGAUCCGAAGCUUCAUCAUCUCCAAAAACUUCCCAGCACUUGUGCUGGUCCCCAUGCAAGACCUCACACACUGCCUCACAGAAGAUGUCACUGGAGACUUCGCUGCUCAUCGUGCCUGGUGCAGUGAUAACUGGAAAACCCCAAAUGUCUCUUUGGCAUGUGGAUUAUUUCAAGCUGAAAAAAACCCAAGGCUCAAAAGACUCAGGAAGAACUUCUGAUCUCCCCCCAUAACCACCUAAAAGAAUUUAGAUAAAGGACCUGGACCAGGAAGGGACCUAUCAUCACAUAUCACUAUGGUAUGAACAAGGUGUGCAGACAGAGGGAAACACCUCCUCCUCUCUGAAGUCCUAAACCCCAGCCUUCAACGUCCUUUUUUGUCUUUCUCUGAAGAUGGUAUUUAGGGUGAAAGUUUCAGUCACUUCAGUGGGUUGGUUUUCCUGGGUCUCUCCCAUGACCACAUGUUAUUAAGCAUUUGUUUGAUUUUCUCCCGUUAAUGUGUCUCAUGUCGGGUUAAUUUUCAGACCAGCCAGAAGACUCUGGAAAGGUAGAGGAAAAUGUCUUCUUUCCCAAAAGGCUAUGGUCCAACACCCAAUUUUUCAAAGGGAUGGGAGUCUGGCUCUUUUCCGAGUCGGUCCGGAGCACACAGCUGUGAUGAGAAAAGUACAUAAUAACUGCAGAACUUCAACGCCUGAGGAUCAAGAGUUUGUUAUGACAUGGCUCUUCCCUCAGAACAUACAACCAAGACGGUAAUUCUGGCAUUCUAAUUCCCUGCUGCUAUUUCCUGACAUUUGAAAAUGUCCAAAGACAUUCUCCUUGGAUGCCUGCGGAGCGGCCCUGGGUCCUCCACUGCCGUGGCUGACAGCCGCACUCCCUGCCUGACCCAGAACACGGCUCUGGCUUGGGGCCCCCCCGGCUCUACCUGCCUUCCACUCCCCCUCCUCUCCAGGGUGGGGUGGCGGAAGGGGCCCUGUGGCUGGUAGGACACACCCAGGACCUCAAAGCGCAGAGGACCAAGAGUCAAUCUGUCUCCGGAAGAAGCUGCGGGCAUUUUGGAGCUGGGUCCCGGACAUCCCCGCUGCCCUUCUUGUUCGGUGCCAGUCUGUCGGCUUGGCCUUGGCUUUGUUCUACUCUGGCUGCUAUGCCAAGAGGGAAAGGGUACAGAGAUUUGCGGGGGGAGCGUGAUAGAAAAAAAAGAGUCUCUCUGGUGUGGUUUUCUUUGUCUUUUUACGGGCGCACCUGCGGCAUAUGGAGGUUCUCAGGCUGGGGGGUCUACACCACAGCCACAGCAAGGUCAGACCCAAGCUGCAUCUGUGACCUAAACCACAGCUCACAGCAAUGCUGGAUCCUUAACCCACUGAGUGAGGCCAGGGAUCGAACCUGCAUCCUCAUGGAUACUAGUUGGGUUCUCAACCUGCUGAGCCACCAUGGGACCUGCUAAGAGUGUGAUGUCAACAGACAAAUGUAAGCUGUCCUCUCCCCUCUCAGUGCAAGGAGUACAAUGAAAGGCUGGUGUUAAGGGCAGGGGGGAAGUGGGGGGUGGGGGGGACACUGGGGGAUUUGGAAGCACCGAGCAGGAGGCAUGGGAUUGGGGAGGGCUGCGGUUUUCACCCUCGGAGGAAUAAACCAGCUGGAGCCAUGCUCACCCACCCAGUCACCCCUCUCCUUAGCCCGUGGCUUGAAACAUGGUAAAAUCAGGGCUUGACUAUUUGGAACCACACAAAAAAGGAGGAUGGUACUGAAGAUGAGUUCCCAGUAGGCUUGAAGAAUUCGCUCUGAUGGCUUUGGUAACUGGCUCUUACAGACACCGAGUGUCUCGCUAAAUAGAUCAGGACAUGGAGAGGGUGGCCGAUGGGGACAUUAGCCACGUUCACCAGUCACCAUGACGCUGUCACACAAGUAACCGCUGCUCUGCACACAUCCACCAGCUAAAGUUAAGCUGCUCUCCAACUGGUGUUGAAAGGUGUUUUUCGUGGAAAUUCUGCUUUUGCUCAGCACAGGCCUGGAUGGCGGGACACCACGGGUGACCUCCCUCCGUAAGACGCGGAGAACAGUAGACCCGUUAAUCUGGGCUGAGAGCUGCCGCUGCUCUGUCUUACAGGCUUGAACAGAACUUUCACGUUUCGUACUUGUGCCCUGAGGCAAUGUAAUCAUGAGAGUUACAGUUUUAUGAGCAAAAAUGAUAAAUAAGUCAAAGGCACCUCAUUUCCAAAAGAGGAAGGCAGCAGUAGAAAAUCAUCGAAAUAGUCAGGCUUCCUAUUUCCCUUCGGAGGUCCCUGCAAAUCUCUGCCUCUUCCCUGAGCAGGGCAGCCCCUGGGGAGCGUGUUACUAUCUCAGGAACACCCCCCCCCCAACAAAUGAAUAGCAAAUGAAGCACCCUGCCCCCUCCCCCUGCAGCAGCUACUGUUUAAAGGAAGAUCUCAUGAUUCCUUCCGCCCCUUGCCCAGGCUGCCAUCUGAAAUGCCGACUAGUUUGUGAUGUUUGCCCCACUGGCUCAGAUCCCAGGUUUGCUGGGACCCUGGACAUAACAGCCGAUCCCAAAGGGCUAAAGAGUUAAGUCACUGCUCUCCUACUUGUGACUUCUGCCUCUGUUCCCUCUGUUCCCUGCUGGGAUCUUCGAAGCUUCCCUUCCAGGUCAAGGAGCUCCAGGCCCCGCUCUCAGGUCCUCCUUCUGAGGCUACUCCAUUCCCUCCCAUCUCUUCUGCGUGCCAGCCAAGGCUGGGCAGAGUCGAGUCAGAGACGGGAUCUGGCUAAUUGCCACUGCGGGUCCCACGGGCCCUCCCCAUGACCGGGCCGAGGCUGAGAGCAGAGAGAAUGUUCUUCUCCCUGCCCCCUCCCCCCCCCCAAACCCCAGCCCGCUGCCCUGGGUGUUCAGACCAUGUGGGUCCGGGGUCCUCUGUGCUGUGUUAGGGGCGAGGAGGGCAGAGAAGAAUAAGGAAAAGAGAGAAGCAUCCUC